rnacentral:rRNA from 1 species
AACGCGUAGAUAAUCUACCCCAAUAUCUGGGAUAACUACUCGAAAGGGUAGCUAAUACCGGAUACGCUUUAAGUGUAGCGAUACAUUAAAAGGAAAGGUGACCUCUCAGAGAAGUUGCCGUAUAGGGAUGAGUUUGCGUACCAUUAGCUAGUAGGUGGGGUAAUGGCCUACCUAGGCGACGAUGGUUAGCGGGUCUGAGAGGAUGAUCCGUCACACUGGAACUGGAACACGGACCAG